GUCAAGAGACUCCAUUUCUAGAUAGAGAGAACGGAAAGAAGGUUUUUCAGAAAGAGAAAAAAGAAGAAAGAGAUGUAUUGACACUUAAUAAAGAGACAUAGAGAAAAGAAGGUUAUGAGAGAGAAAAUGUUUUGGCUACAUCAUCACCAUCACGAUGGCCUUGAGGGUUUUUGGGUGGGAACGAAGGGAUGACAAAUUUUUGGCGUUUUUCAUUUUCCUUUUUUUUUAUAUAACGUGUAUUGGGUAAGUAUCCCAUGCAUU
rnacentral:misc_RNA from 1 species